rnacentral:rRNA from 1 species
GAUGAACGCUGGCGGCGUGCCUAAUACAUGCAAGUCGAGCGAACCACUUCGGUGGUGAGCGGCGAACGGGUGAGUAACACGUAGGUGAUCUGCCCAUCAGACGGGGACAACGAUUGGAAACGAUCGCUAAUACCGGAUAGGACGAAAGUUUAAAGGUGCUUCGGCACCACUGAUGGAUGAGCCUGCGGCGUAUUAGCUAGUUGGUGGGGUAAAGGCCUACCAAGGCAACGAUGCGUAGCCGACCUGAGAGGGUGAUCGGCCACACUGGGACUGAGACACGGCCCAGACUCCUACGGGAGACAGCAGUUAGGAAUAUUCGUCAAUGGGGGAAACCCUGAACGAGCAAUGCCGCGUGAAGGAAGACGGUCCUCUGGAUUGUAAACUUCUGUUGUUAGGGAAGAACGACCUGUAUAGGAAAUGAUACAGGAGUGACGGUACCUUUCAAGAAAGCUCCGGCUAACUACGUG